rnacentral:lncRNA from 1 species
AUGCAACUGUGUCCACAGAGCGCCUCCGCUUGGCGUGGUGGUCCCAAGCUGCCCUCCAAAGCCUGUAAGUUCUCAUCCACGCUUGUGGCCAAGGCUUACAGAGCUGCGGGCCAGGCCGCUUCUGCCCUGCAUGCCAUGGCCUCUCUGCAGGUCUAUCAGGCCAAGCUGCUCCGGCAGCUGCACGAGGGCAGUGCUGACCCAGGGGUUUUGCAGGAGGCGCGCACUGCAACCGACCUCGCUCUCCGGGCGACGAAGGUCACUGCGCGCUCCUUGGGUCAGGUGAUGUCCACUUUGGUGGUCCAGGAGCGCCACCUAUGGCUGAACCUGGCAGACAUGAGGGAGUCUGAUCGGGCUCAGCUCCUCAACUCCCCGGUCUCCCAGGAUGGCCUCUUCGGCGACGCGGUAGAGAGCUUUGCCCAGCAGUUCUCUGCCGCCCAGAAGCAGUCUGAGGCCUUCAGACACAUCCUGCCCCGGCGGCCCUCUGCUGCUUCCACCCCGCCGCCGGCGCAACCUCAGCCUGCUCGUCGCCGAGGGCGCCCCCCUGCGGCCAGUGGUACCCAUAUCUUCACUAAAAGAGCUGUUUCCUCUACCUCCGGGUCCCAAGAGGCCACGAAUGACAGCUGGCGACGUGCUUCCUCGCCGCUCUCGUUCCCCUCUCCCCUUGCCAAUUUCCAUGCAAAGACGGCUCAAGAACGCUUCGCCUUCUCAUGCCCUCUUUGCCACUUGGAGUCAGACGAGUGCCCGCACUCCGCCCCCGCUAAGGGACGCUAUGCCUCCCAUGCCGGGGCUGUCUGCUCCACCACGCUGCCCCACUGUGGGUACGCCUGUAGUCCCCUUGACCCCGCUGGUUCGGUUCCUGGGAGCCUGGCUAGAGCUCCCCAGGCCUUCCCGCUGGCUCAUCCGGACGCUCAGGCUCGGCUACGCGAUUCAGUUCACCCGGCGUCCCCCCAGGUUUCGGGGUGUCCACGCGACGAUGGUGGGCAAAGAUGCCCCUGUCAUGCGCGCGGAGGUCGCGACCCUGCUGGCAAAGGGCGCGAUAGAGCCGGUCCCUCCAGCCGACAUGAAGUCCGGCUUUUACAGCCCUUACUUCAUAGUACCCAAGAAGACAGGUGGGUUACGGCCAAUCCUGGACCUGCGUGCCUUGAACCGAGCUCUACACAGACUCCCGUUCAAGAUGCUAACGCCCCAGCGCAUUUUCGAAUGCAUUCGUCCGAUGGAUUGGUUUGCAGCGAUCGACCUGAAGGACGCGUACUUUCAUGUCUCCAUUCUUCCUCGACACAGACCGUUUCUUCGGUUUGCUUUCGAGGGGCAGGCAUAUCAGUACAAGGUUCUCCCAUUCGGGUUGGCCCUCUCUCCCCGCGUCUUUAUGAAGGUUGCGGAGGGGGCCCUGGCUCCUCUCAGGGAACAGGGUGUCCGUAUCCUCAACUACCUCGACGACUGGCUGAUCCUAGCUCACUCUCGAGAGCGGUUGUGCGAGCACAGGGAUCUGGUGCUCAGACACCUCGCCCGACUGGGUCUUCAGGUCAACUGGGAAAAGAGCAAACUCUCCCCUGUGCAGAGGAUCUCUUUUCUCGGUAUGGAAAUAGACUCGGUCGCCAUGUUCGCGCAGCUUACAAACGAGCGCGCGCAGUCACUGCUGAGUUGCCUGAGACAAUUCGAGGGCAAGAGAGCGGUUCCACUGAAACUGUUUCAGAGGCUCCUGGGGCAUAUGGCGUCCGCGGCGGCAGUCAUACCGCUCGGGCUACUCCAUAUGAGACCGCUUCAGCACUGGCUUCACGACCGAGUCCCGAGAUGGGCAUGGCAACAGGGCACGCUCCGAGUGACCAUCACUCCGGCCUGCCGUCGAUACUUCACCCCGUGGUUGGACCCCUCGUUUCUACGGGCCGGCGUGCCCCUAGAACCGGUGUCCAGACAUGUUGUUGUGUCAACAGAUGCCUCUGCCACGGGCUGGGGUGCCAUGUGCAAUGGGCAUGCUGCGUCAGGCUCCUGGCCAGGACCCCGACUUCAGUGGCAUGUCAAUUGCCUCGAGUUGCUAGCAGUACGUCUUGCUCUGCACCGCUUCAGGGCCCUGCUGAAGGACAAGCACGUUCUGGUUCGUACAGACAACACGGCGACCGUAGCGUACAUCAACCGUCAGGGUGGUCUACGCUCCCGCCGCAUGUCGCAACUCGCUCGCCAUCUCCUCCUGUGGAGUCACAAGCAUCUGAGGUCGCUUCGUGCCAUUCACAUUCCAGGCAGGCUCAAUCGUGCAGCCGACGAGCUCUCACGACAGCAGUCUCGCCCCGGGGAAUGGAGACUCCACCCCCAGUCGGUUCAGCUGAUUUGGGAACACUUCGGAGACGCCCAGGUAGACCUGUUUGCCUCUCCAGAAAAUUCCCACUGCCAGUUGUUUUACUCCCUGACCGAGGGCACCCUCGGCACGGACGCCCUGGCACACAGCUGGCCGCUGGGCCUGCGCAAGUAUGCGUUUCCCCCAGUGAGCCUUCUUGCACAGACGUUGUGCAAGAUCAGGGAGGACGAGGAGCAGGUCCUCAUGGUUGCGCCUUUUUGGCCCGGCCGGACCUGGUUCCCCGAACUUGUACUCCUCGCGACAGCCCCUCCCUGGCCAAUUCCUCUGAGGAGGGACCUUCUUUCUCAGAGACGGGGCACCCUCUGGCACCCACGUCCCGAUCUAUGGAACCUACAUGUGUGGGUUCUGGACGGGUCACGGAAGGUUUAGGUACCUUGCCACCACAGGUGGUAGCUGCCAUCACUUCAGCUAGAGCCAUGUCCACCAGACAUGCCUAUGCCUUGAAGUGGAACCUCUUCGUCACUUGGUGUUCUUCACGGCGUGAGGACCCCUGGAAGUGCCCGAUUGGGUCAGUGCUUUCCUUUCUUCAGGAGGGGUUGGAACGUAGGCUGUCUCCUUCCACCCUCAAGGUCUAUGUGGCUGCCAUUUCGGCUCACCAUGACCCUGUUGAAGGUAAGUCUCUUGGAAGGCACGAUCUGAUCAUCAGGUUCCUGAGAGGAGCAAGGAGGCUCAAUCCGCCUCGCCCUCAGCAAGUCCCCUCUUGGGACCUCGCAGUGGUUCUAUCAGCACUGCAGAGAGCUCCCUUCGAACCCUUGCUCUCAGUAGAGCUAAAGUUUUUAUCUUUGAAAACUGCGCUCCUGACGGCUUUGGCUUCGGUGAAGAGGGUCGGGGACCUGCAGGCAUUUUCAGUUGACGAAGCGUGCCUGGAAUUCGGGCCGGCUAACUCUCACGUUAUCUUGAGACCCCGGCCUGGGUACGUGCCCAAAGUUCCCACCACUCCUUUUAGGGAUCAGGUGGUGAACUUGCAAGCGCUGCCCCUGGAGGAGGCAGACCCAGCCCUGGCGCUGCUCUGUCCAGUACGUGCGCUCCGCACCUACGUGGACAGAACUCGGUGCCUUAGGACCUCAGACCAGCUCUUUGUCUGUUACGGAGGCCAGCAGAAGGGAAAGGCUGUCUCCAAGCAGAGGUUAUCCCACUGGAUAGUGGAUGCUAUUGUCCUGGCUUAUCAGGCUCGAGACCUGCCAUGCCCCCUAGGGGUGAGAGCUCACUCAACUAGGAGCGUAGCUUCCUCCUGGGCGUUGGCGCAUGGCGCCUCGCUAGCAGACAUCUGUAGAGCUGCGGGCUGGGCGACACCUAACACAUUCGCAAGAUUUUAUAAUCUCCGUGUAGAGCCCGUGUCCUCCCAGAUACUCGCCACUUCGGGCCAGUAA